rnacentral:rRNA from 1 species
UACGUAGGGGGCUAGCGUUGUCCGGAAUCAUUGGGCGUAAAGAGCGUGUAGGCGGUUCGGUAAGUCCGCUGUGAAAGUCGGGGGCUCAACCCUCGAAUGCCGGUGGAUACUGUCGGGCUAGAGUGCGGAAGAGGCGAGUGGAAUUCCUGGUGUAGCGGUGAAAUGCGCAGAUAUCAGGAGGAACACCAAUAGCGAAGGCAGCUCGCUGGGACGGUAUUGACGCUAAGGCGCGAAAGCGUGGGGAGCAAACAGG